CCUCUCAAAAUGUUGAGAUUAGAGGUGUGAGCCACUGCACCCAGCCAGGCUUUACAAUUUUUAAAUAACUUUCAGCACAAAUACUUGUGAACCAGAAACAUUGGUUGAAAAUAUCUGUAACUUCUUUCUCAGCUCUAAAUUACUGAGAAGCAAAUGGAACCACAUGUUACAAAUAUUUCACAAGAACCAGUACCAUACUUUUAAACAUCUUGAUUAUGAUCUACUUGACAGUCAUAUUUGAGUUGUUGCUCUGUGUAACAUAAGAGUUGGGCUACACCUUCAGAAUAACUGGCAAAGCACCACCAACUGGCUGUGUCCUGAGAGGCUACCCAGCAACCUGGCUUUUUGUCUGAGUAUCAGACGCCCACUCUUCAUUGGACCAUAGAGGUUUUUCUCCCUAGUCCUCACCUCCAGCUCACUCCACCAAGUUAUUAGGAGUCUCUGAAAGAAACACGGAACACCCAGAGCAGAAAGCCAAUUUCUAAUUGGGCCAUCAGAUAGGGAAGAAAUGACAACUUCAACAAGAUUUCUUGUGAUCCUUGAGAGAUUUUCUAUGCAGGUACAGUCACAUUUAUGUCUUUUAAUAAUAGAGUUCAUCCAUCAUACAAGAUUGAUGAUCCCUGCAGAAGUUAAAAGUCUAGGAAUAAGAAAUUUGCACUUUAAAGAAGUCUUUCCUUUGUCUUACGGCUUCCAGAAUUCCUGAUGAGGAGUCUGCUAUCAAUCUUAUCUUGUGGCUUUGAAGUGAUAAUGUCAUUCUCACCUGUAAUCCCAGCACUUUGGGAGGCUGAGGCC
rnacentral:lncRNA from 1 species